rnacentral:rRNA from 1 species
CCUACGGGCGGCAGCAGUGAGGAAUAUUGGUCAAUGGGCGAGAGCCUGAACCAGCCAAGUCGCGUGAGGGAGUACUGCCCUAUGGGUUGUAAACCUCUUUUGUCGGGGAGCAAAAGCCGGACGUGUCCGGCUGUGAGAGUUCCCGAAGAAAAAGCAUCGGCCAACUCCGUGCCAGCAGCCGCGGUAAUACGGAGGAUGCGAGCGUUAGCCGGAUUUUGUGGGUUUAAGGGGGGCGCAGGCGGAUUUUUAAGUCAGCGGUCAAAGCGUGGGGCUAAACCCCAUCCAGCCGUUGAAACUGGGGAUCUAGAGUGUGCGAGAGGUAUGCGGAAUGCGUGGUGUAGCGGUGAAAUGCAUAGAUAUCACGCAGAACCCCGAUUGCGAAGGCAGCAUACCGGUGCACAACUGACGCUCAGGCACGAAAGCGUGGGUAUCGAACAGGAUUAGAUACCCGUGUAGUC